UUGUUAGGAUGUAAUAUUCUAACAUCAAUCAUAUGUCCGUUGUUAGGUUUAAUCCAGGAUUUUUGGCAAAUCAAAUCUAAAUUUGAUUUUUAAUUUAAAAAUGCGAGAACAAUAAACAAUGUGGGAAUAAAGUUCCCAAACAUUAACAAAAACAUGUAUUACUCGCUAAUGAAGAAGAUUUUCAUUAAUCAAGACAUUAACCCACAAAACCCACAAGUUAUAGUAAUGUGAUAAAAUUACACAAACUACCCAUUCACUAAUCCGAAAUGAAUACACGGAUUACACUACUACAACCAAACACAAUCCGAUUUCUUCACAAAUCUAAGCCUCUGAUCUGUCUUGCGAGUUGGAUAUCCUGGAACGGUAAAGCUCUGGAAUGCGGAGACGACAUAUCUCUGGAACGUGGAGACGGUAGAUCUCUGAAACGCGGAGAGGGCGGAGCCCUGGAACACGGAGACGACGUAGCCAUCUGGGCGGAGCCUUCUGGAGCCUCAUAUUGGUCUUGAAACCCAGGACGAUCUCACAGUGACGGCGGGGUAGGGAGAGGGUGACGGCAGUGGCAUAUUGAGAAGAAGUAGGGAGAGAAAGACAAAAUCGAAGACAAAGAAGUAAGGAGAGGGUGACAGCGACAUAUUCAGAAGAUUGUGAAAUUAGGGGUUGGGGGAAGAUUAAUGAAUGUAAAGGAGGUAAGGCAUUAGGUUGGG
rnacentral:lncRNA from 1 species